UUGGAGGGCAAGUCUGGUGCCAGCAGCCGCGGUAAUUCCAGCUCCAAUAGCGUAUAUUAAAGUUGUCGCAGUUAAAAAGCUCGUAGUUGAACUUCGGGGUUUACCCAUUGGUCAGGCUUAAUUGUCUGUACUGGUGAGAUGAAUCUCUACCUUCUGAGGAACUUUCAUGCCAUUUAUUUGGUGUGAUGGGAAAUCAGGACUGUUACUUUGAAAAAAUUAGAGUGUUUAAAGCAGGCUAACGUCUGAAUACAUUAGCAUGGAAUAAUGAAAUAGGACGGACUGAUUCUAUUUCGUUGGUUUCUAGGAUCACCGUAAUGAUUAAUAGGGAUAGUUGGGGGCAUUAGUAUUCAAUUGUCAGAGGUGAAAUUCUUGGAUUUAUUGAAGACUAACUACUGCGAAAGCAUUCGCCAAGGAUGUUUUCAUUAAUCAAGAACGAAAGUUAGGGGAUCGAAGACGAUCAGAUACCGUCGUAGUCAUAACCAUAAACUAUGCCGACUAGGGAUCGGACGAAGUUAAUUUUAUAAUGACGCGUUCGGCACCUUACGGGAAACCAAAGUGUUUGGGUUC
rnacentral:rRNA from 1 species